rnacentral:rRNA from 1 species
AACGAACGCUGGCGGCAGGCUUAACACAUGCAAGUCGAACGCUCGUAGCAAUACGGGAGUGGCGGACGGGUGAGUAACGCGUGGGAACGUGCCCUGAGGUACGGAAUAACUGCGGGAAACUGCAGCUAAUACCGUAUGAGCCCCGCAAGGGGAAAGAUUUAUCGCCUUGGGAGCGGCCCGCGUCGGAUUAGCUAGUUGGUGGGGUAACGGCCUACCAAGGCUUCGAUCCGUAGCUGGUCUGAGAGGACGAUCAGCCACACUGGGACUGAGACACGGCCCAGACUCCUACGGGAGGCAGCAGUGGGGAAUCUUGCGUAAUGGGGGCAACCCUGACGCAGCCAUGCCGCGUGAAUGAUGAAGGCCUUAGGGUUGUAAAGUUCUUUUGCCCGUGACGAUGAUGACGGUAACGGGAGAAUAAGCUCCGGCUAACUUCGUG